rnacentral:rRNA from 1 species
CCUACGGGUGGCAGCAGUGAGGAAUAUUGGUCAAUGGACGAGAGUCUGAACCAGCCAAGUAGCGUGAAGGAUGACUGCCCUAUGGGUUGUAAACUUCUUUUAUAUGGGAAUAAAAUGUUCCACGUGUGGGCUUUUGUAUGUACCAUAUGAAUAAGGAUCGGCAAACUCCGUUCCAGCAGCCGCGGAAAAAGGGGGGGUCCGAGGGUUAUCCGGAUGUAUUGGGUUUAAGGGCAGGUAGGGGGAUUAUUAAGUCAGUUGUGAAAGUUUGUGGCUCAACCGUAAAAUUGCAGUUGAAACUGGCAGUCUUGAGUACAGUAGAGGUGGGCGGAAUUCGUGGUGUAGCGGUGAAAUGCUUAGAUAUCACGAAGAACUCCGAUUGCGAAGGCAGCUCACUGGACUGCAACUGACACUGAGGCUCGAAAGUGUGGGUAUCAAACAGGAUUAGAUACCCUUGUAGUC